UAACGACAUCAUUGUGACUAGGUGGAGGCCUGAUAACGAGGCUACUAGUACUUCUUCUAUCGUGUCCAAUAAACAAAAGCACUCAACCUUCAAGAAAUGGGAAUUUCAACUACCUCACAUUUUUGUCUACGUUGCAUACGUUGGGUGCUUCGGCACUUGUGCAGCAGGCUCGGCAGUCAUCAUGAUCUACGGGCAGCAAUUUGGAAUAACGAAGGCAAUGCAAUGGGUAGCAACCAUGUUCUUGUCGUUUUUUGAGUCAGUUCUCUUCUUCGAACCUCUCAAGGUUCUUCUUUUCGCCGCAUUUGUAGCGCUGCUUAUAAAACCGAAAAGUGCUACAGAAGACAACGUUGUGUAUAACGCCAAAGUGAAGCAAGUUGAAGGAACCGAG